ACGCUGGCGGCGUGCUUAACACAUGCAAGUCGAACGAUGAAGCCUAGCUUGCUAGGUGGAUUAGUGGCGAACGGGUGAGUAAUACGUGAGUAACCUACCUUUAACUCUGGGAUAAGCCUGGGAAACUGGGUCUAAUACCGGAUACGACCAAUCUCCGCAUGGGGUGUUGGUGGAAAGCGUUAUGUAGUGGUUAUAGAUGGGCUCACGGCCUAUCAGCUUGUUGGUGAGGUAACGGCUCACCAAGGCGACGACGGGUAGCCGGCCUGAGAGGGUGACCGGCCACACUGGGACUGAGACACGGCCCAGACUCCUACGGGAGGCAGCAGUGGGGAAUAUUGCACAAUGGGCGCAAGCCUGAUGCAGCGACGCCGCGUGAGGGAUGACGGCCUUCGGGUUGUAAACCUCUGUUAGCAGGGAAGAAGAGAGAUUGACGGUACCUGCAGAGAAAGCGCCGGCUAACUACGUGCCAGCAGCCGCGGUAAUACGUAGGGCGCGAGCGUUGUCCGGAAUUAUUGGGCGUAAAGAGCUUGUAGGCGGUUUGUCGCGUCUGCUGUGAAAGGCCGGGGCUUAACCCCGUGUAUUGCAGUGGGUACGGGCAGACUAGAGUGCAGUAGGGGAGACUGGAAUUCCUGGUGUAGCGGUGGAAUGCGCAGAUAUCAGGAGGAACACCGAUGGCGAAGGCAGGUCUCUGGGCUGUAACUGACGCUGAGAAGCGAAAGCAUGGGGAGCGAACAGGAUUAGAUACCCUGGUAGUCCAUGCCGUAAACGUUGGGCACUAGGUGUGGGGGACAUUCCACGUUUUCCGCGCCGUAGCUAACGCAUUAAGUGCCCCGCCUGGGGAGUACGGCCGCAAGGCUAAAACUCAAAGAAAUUGACGGGGGCCCGCACAAGCGGCGGAGCAUGCGGAUUA
rnacentral:rRNA from 1 species